rnacentral:rRNA from 1 species
GUCGAGCGGUAGCACAGGAGAGCUUGCUCUCUGGGUGACGAGCGGCGGACGGGUGAGUAAUGUCUGGGAAACUGCCUGAUGGAGGGGGAUAACUACUGGAAACGGUAGCUAAUACCGCAUGACCUCGCAAGUAGCAAAGUGGGGGACCUUCGGGCCUCACGCCAUCGGAUGUGCCCAGAUGGGAUUAGCUAGUAGGUGGGGUAAUGGCUCACCUAGGCGACGAUCCCUAGCUGGUCUGAGAGGAUGACCAGCCACACUGGAACUGAGACACGGUCCAGACUCCUACGGGAGGCAGCAGUGGGGAAUAUUGCACAAUGGGCGCAAGCCUGAUGCAGCCAUGCCGCGUGUGUGAAGAAGGCCUUAGGGUUGUAAAGCACUUUCAGCGAGGAGGAAGGGUUCAGUGUUAAUAGCACUGUGCAUUGACGUUACUCGCAGAAGAAGCACCGGCUAACUCCGUGCCAGCAGCCGCGGUAAUACGGAGGGUGCAAGCGUUAAUCGGAAUUACUGGGCGUAAAGCGCACGCAGGCGGUUUGUUAAGUCAGAUGUGAAAUCCCCGAGCUUAACUUGGGAACUGCAUUUGAAACUGGCAAGCUAGAGUCUUGUAGAGGGGGGUAGAAUUCCAGGUGUAGCGGUGAAAUGCGUAGAGAUCUGGAGGAAUACCGGUGGCGAAGGCGGCCCCCUGGACAAAGACUGACGCUCAGGUGCGAAAGCGUGGGGAGCAAACAGGAUUAGAUACCCCUUGGUAGUCCACGCUGUAAACGAUGUCGACUUGGAGGUUGUGCCCUUGAGGCGUGGCUUCCGGAGCUAACGCGUUAAGUCGACCGCCUGGGGAGUACGGCCGCAAGGUUAAAACUCAAAUGAAUUGACGGGGGCCCGCACAAGCGGUGGAGCAUGUGGUUUAAUUCGAUGCAACGCGAAGAACCUUACCUACUCUUGACAUCCAGAGAAUUCGCUAGAGAUAGCUUAGUGCCUUCGGGAACUCUGAGACAGGUGCUGCAUGGCUGUCGUCAGCUCGUGUUGUGAAAUGUUGGGUUAAGUCCCGCAACGAGCGCAACCCUUAUCCUUUGUUGCCAGCAAGUAAUGGUGGGAACUCAAAGGAGACUGCCGGUGAUAAACCGGAGGAAGGUGGGGAUGACGUCAAGUCAUCAUGGCCCUUACGAGUAGGGCUACACACGUGCUACAAUGGCAUAUACAAAGAGAAGCAAACUCGCGAGAGCAAGCGGACCUCAUAAAGUAUGUCGUAGUCCGGAUUGGAGUCUGCAACUCGACUCCAUGAAGUCGGAAUCGCUAGUAAUCGUAGAUCAGAAUGCUACGGUGAAUACGUUCCCGGGCCUUGUACACACCGCCCGUCACACCAUGGGAGUGGGUUGCAAAAGAAGUAGGUAGC